rnacentral:misc_RNA from 1 species
GGCUAGGGCAGCUGGUUCUUUGUCUAAUAAGGAUAUUUGGGGUUAUUCUCCUCCAUCUAUCCUCCGUGAUGUACUGUUGUUUGAUUCCAGUAAUUAAACCUUUCACUUGGCUUGUUUAAAAAAAAAAAAAAAAUCCACAAACAAUUUAUUCUCUGAAAUAAACAGAGCUUGAAUUAUACAAGAUAGUCUAACUGGAUAUAGCCUUAAUUAGUAUGAAAAUAUAUGAUGGUUUAGAAAGAUGAAGCUAGUAUGUGCAGAAAAGAAACAAAAGUAUAUGUUGAGGAUUGAACAUUGGAGUGAAUUAGGAAAAAAAUAUUUUUAUUUUGAUCUCUCUAUUGUUUCUUCUUUAUUUGAUCACAGUACAUUGUAUGAAUGACAAUUCAUCAUUGAAGUAGGCAUCUUUUGUUUUAUGGCUUAGUUAAACUAUUGCAGAACCUGGCGCUUGGCAAUUGAAUCUCCUAAAUGUAGAAUUUGCUUUUUGUUUUAUAAUUCUAUUGGAUACACAUUUUUAUCUCUCAAGCUACUUUGCGCCCUUUGGAUAAGCCCCAGCAUUAAUAUUCAAAUUUUGCCAUAAAUGGCAGAUAACAUUUUAUUUUUAUCAAUUUUACUUUUGAUGCAGUCAGAGGUGACGUUAAGGAAAG